rnacentral:rRNA from 1 species
UUCCUACGGGGGGCUGCAGUAGGGAAUCUUCCGCAAUGGACGAAAGUCUGACGGAGCAACGCCGCGUGAGUGAAGAAGGUUUUCGGAUCGUAAAACUCUGUUGUCAGAGAAGAACAAGUUGGAGAGUAACUGCUCCAGCCUUGACGGUAUCUGACCAGAAAGCCACGGCUAACUACGUGCCAGCAGCCGCGGUAAUACGUAGGUGGCAAGCGUUGUCCGGAUUUAUUGGGCGUAAAGCGAGCGCAGGCGGUUCCUGAAGUCGGAUGGGAAAGCCCACGGCUCAACCGUGGAAGGUCAUUGGAAACUGGGGAACUUGAGUGCAGAAGAGGAGAGUGGAAUUCCAUGUGUAGCGGUGAAAUGCGUAGAUAUAUGGAGGAACACCAGUGGCGAAGGCGACUCUCUGGUCUGUAACUGACGCUGAGGCUCGAAAGCGUGGGGAGCAAACAGGAUUAGAUACCCCGGUAGUCA